GAUGAACGCUAGCGGGAGGCCUAACACAUGCAAGCCGAGCGGUAUUGUUUCUUCGGAAAUGAGAGAGCGGCGUACGGGUGCGUAACACGUGUGCAACCUGCCUUUAUCUGGGGGAUAGCCUUUCGAAAGGAAGAUUAAUACUCCAUAAUAUAUUGAACGGCAUCGUUUAAUAUUGAAAGCUCCGGCGGAUAGAGAUGGGCACGCGCAAGAUUAGCUAGUUGGUGAGGUAACGGCUCACCAAGGCGAUGAUCUUUAGGGGGCCUGAGAGGGUGAUCCCCCACACUGGUACUGAGACACGGACCAGACUCCUACGGGAGGCAGCAGUGAGGAAUAUUGGUCAAUGGGUGCAAGCCUGAACCAGCCAUCCCGCGUGAAGGACGACUGCCCUAUGGGUGGUAAACUUCUUUUGUAUAGGGAUAAACCUACCCUCGAGAGGGUAGCUGAAGGUACUAUACGAAUAAGCACCGGCUAACUCCGUG
rnacentral:rRNA from 1 species